CGCGCUCAGCGAAUGCCCGGCUCGCGCCGCCUCCCGCUCUCGCUCAGUCAGUGGCGCCGAAGGCUCCGUUAAGCGGCGGUGGCGGUGGUUCCUGUUUCCGUUUCUUCCUCUCCCUUCAGUCGGGAGUAGCAUCCUCCACCCAGCCACCCCUCCCGCUCCCCCGGCGCCGGGCAGCUGCGGCUGAGGGCUGGGGCGGCCGCAGCGGCGGCGACUGGGGACCGGCGGAGACCGCCUCUGCAGCCGCCUCGGCUUGUCAAUGAGCUGCAGGAAGUGACUUCCACAUCCUAAGUGAAUUGUCCAAACACCCAUCUUGAGAUGCAUCCAUCCAGAGUCGCUUUUGCUGGGAAAAACUUAACUUCUCUGGUGAUUUAAGAAGAGGAAACCGAAACAACAUGACUUGCCCAAUGACAGAGCGUUAACAGGAAAAAUGGGGUUUGAACUCGGGCAGCCCGUCUCCAGAACCUGGGCUUCAAAUGACUAGAUCACACCGGCUCUCUAGCGAUGUGCGCUAAGGUGAAAGCCAGUGCUCUCAGGGACUGCCCAGGUUACCAGUGACCACGGACCACUGCUUUGGAUUUUUACCGAAACUCUCCCCUUAUCUCUGACACUGCAGAUGACUCUUCUUCAAACACUCCUGCCUUGACACUUGAUAUUUUUUUUCUUUUUCUCUGAUUAUAUGUUGGUUCCCCUUUGUGGAUCUUUUUACCAAAUAUUUGUUGGACACCUACUAAAACCCAGGCAUUGUUCAAAGUGCUGAAGAUACUGCAGUGAACACGGGUCAAGAAUCCCUGUUCUUCUGCCUGCCCUCUUAAAAAAAUACGAGCUAAGUACUGCAAAACAGUUAACAUCUGCUUAAUUUCGGU
rnacentral:lncRNA from 1 species